AGAGUUUGAUCCUGGCUCAGGACGAACGCUGGCGGUGCGCCUUAUGCAUGCAAGUCGAGCGAAGCUUUUCAGUAGUUUACUACAGAAAAUAACUGAGCGGCGAACGGGUGAGUAACGCGUGAGCAACCUACCUUAGUUACUGGGAUAGCCCGAGGAAACUCGGAUUAAUACCGGAUAUUCUUAUUUAAUCACAUGAUUUUUUAAGGAAAGGUCAGCCGAACUAAGAUGGGCUCGCGUUCUAUCAGCUAGUUGGUAGGGUAAUGGCCUACCAAGGCUACGACGGAUAGCUGGUCUGAGAGGACGAUCAGCCACACUGGGACUGAGACACGGCCCAGACUCCUACGGGAGGCUGCAGCAGGGAAUAUUGCGCAAUGAGCGAAAGCUUGACGCAGCGACACCGCGUGUGGGAUGACGGAUCUAGGUUUGUAAACCACUUUCAGGAGGGAAGAAAAUGACGGUACCUCCACAAGAAGCCCCGGCCAACUACGUGCCAGCAGCCGCGGUAAUACGUAGGGGGCGAGCGUUGUCCGGAUUUAUUGGGCGUAAAGAGCUCGUAGGCGGUUCAACAAGUCGGUCGUGAAAGUUCAGGGCUCAACCCUGAAAUGUCGAUCGAUACUGUUGUGACUAGGAUACGGUAGAGGUGAGUGGAAUUCCGAGUGUAGCGGUGAAAUGCGUAGAUAUUCGGAGGAACACCAAUUGCGAAGGCAGCUCACUGGGCCGCUAUCGACGCUGAGGAGCGAAAGCUAGGGGAGCAAACAGGAUUAGAUACCCUGGUAGUCCUAGCUGUAAACGAUGGAUACUAGACGUAGGAAUUGGAUUAACGAUUUCUGUGUCGUAGCUAACGCGUUAAGUAUCCCGCCUGGGGAGUACGGUCGCAAGACUAAAACUCAAAGGAAUUGACGGGACCCCGCACAAGCGGCGGAGCAUGCGGCUUAAUUCGAUGAUACCCGUAGAACCUUACCUGGACUUGACAUAUAGGGAAAAGUUAUAGAAAUAUAAUGUGCAUUAGCGCCCUAUACAGGUGGUGCAUGGCUGUCGUCAGCUCGUG
rnacentral:rRNA from 1 species